rnacentral:rRNA from 1 species
CAGCAGCCGCGGGAAUACGAAGGGGGCUAGCGUUGCUCGGAAUGACUGGGCGUAAAGGGCGCGUAGGCGGUUUAUACAGUCAGAUGUGAAAUUCCUGGGCUCAACCUGGGGACUGCAUUUGAUACGUAUGGACUUGAGUGGAGAAGAGGGUUGUGGAAUUUCCAGUGUAGAGGUGAAAUUCGUAGAUAUUGGAAAGAACACCGGUGGCGAAGGCGGCAACCUGGUCUUUAACUGACGCUGAGGCGCGAAAGCGUGGGGAGCAAACAGGAUUAGAUACCCGCGUAGUCCCUGUCUCUUAUAC